rnacentral:lncRNA from 1 species
AAAGCACCUCCUUGGAAACUAAAAUAAACCAGCCGGACAACGCAAAUGAGUCUGAAAUGGGAGAAGAAGCGGGACAGGGGGAGGUGAGAGAUCAAAUGAUUGCAAAUGUGCAGGAGGAAUGGGAAACUGAAAAUGAUGAGCAAGUAGGGGAAGAUCUAAAGCAAGAGAUGGUUGUGGAGGUGCACCAUCAAUGGGGCAAGGUAAAGGGAAGGGGGACAGAAGAGUCUCAAGGGUCAGAGGAGGAAUUACUGGAGGAGACAGAAGAAGAAGAGAGUAAUGAAGAGACUGAUGAGAGGGAAGCUGUUGAAGAGACAGAGAUGGAAGGAGAUGCUUUUACUGAGGCCACAGAAGAAGGUGAUGAGGUAGAGGAAAGGUUGAUAGGGGGUACAGAAGACAUAAGUGAGAAAGAUGAGAUACAAACUGAAGGUGAAGACAUAAGCGACAGCGGAGAAGAACCUGUUGUGUUCACGGGGAAAGAAGUGGUGGACAAUGAUAAUGACCAGCAGGGUGAGGAGAAGGUUAUUGAAGAGAAGAGAGAGGAGGCUGAAGGGGAAAACAAGAAGGAGGAUGAAGUGGUAGAAGAGGGUGGACAAGAAAGUGCUGGGGACAAUUACAGUAUGACUACAUGCCAGGGAGAGGAUGAACAAGAAUCAGAUCAAAGUAUAGAACAGGAAGGGAGGUAUGAGGACCGCAAAGAGGUAGAUGAGGAAGGAUUAGAUGAAGACAGAGAAUCAGAAGUUGGGUUAGAGGAAGCCAAUGUUCCCAAUGAAGCUGCAGAGGAUCUUGAUAUGAAAAUUAACGAAAGAGCAAAUUCAGACUCUAAAUUCGAACAAAUGGCUACUGAAUUUCCAGUCAAAUAUUCCUCUGAGGAGCAUUGCGAGGACGAUAAAGGUAAUGGUGCAGACACCAUGACAGAUGAUGGAGAGGAGCACUGCGACGACAGAAGCAACAAUCUACCACAUCCGGUGGAAAUAUCACAGGAAUUGCUGGACUUUGUCAACUCUGCCCUACAGUCCUCAUCCCUUAUAUUCACCUAUGAUGCGCAAGGGAAUGUCUGGCUGGAGCCAGACAACUGUCGAGUUGUAAAAACUAAACAAGCUCUCAUACCGAAAAGAAGUAAGGAUAGUCAGUAUGGUCUAAAAAUCCUGCCAAGCCCAAGCACCUCUGACCUGUCUGAUUACAGGCCAGAAACGUCGGAAAGUUGGCGAUCUAAUCCCCAGGAAUCUACAGAUAUGGCCACAGACAGUGGAGAAGAUACUUUGGAGAGGUCUGUCAUUAGCAAAAACAAAGGAGAAACCCAUCGUCAGAAGACUAACGCAGAGCCAGCGAACACUGGGAGUAGUGCAG